CAGUCGCCGCGGUAAUACAGAGGGUGCGAGCGUUAAUCGGAUUUACUGGGCGUAAAGCGUGCGUAGGCGGCUUCUUAAGUCGGAUGUGAAAUCCCUGAGCUUAACUUAGGAAUUGCAUUCGAUACUGGGAAGCUAGAGUAUGGGAGAGGAUGGUAGAAUUCCAGGUGUAGCGGUGAAAUGCGUAGAGAUCUGGAGGAAUACCGAUGGCGAAGGCAGCCAUCUGGCCUAAUACUGACGCUGAGGUACGAAAGCAUGGGGAGCAAACAGGAUUAGAUACCCCCGUAGUCACUGUCUCUUAUAA
rnacentral:rRNA from 1 species